rnacentral:lncRNA from 1 species
UUGUGCAGAGGACUCUCCAGGUGAAGGCUCAAGGGUGGAUCCAGCUCGAGACACCCUCGCUCCCCCUCACAGUCGGACCUUAGGAUUUAGGCUUUAACAUCUCCACAUCAUGAGAUUCGAAACCUUUAGGUCUUGUCUUCCGUUCUGUCCUCCAAAUCGGCCUCUUCCGAGCCUGUUGACCAGGGCCAGCCGGGCAGAGGGCUGGGCUCGCUCAACGAGGCUCCUCUCGCACCUCCUGGAGCUUCAGGCUUCUUUCCGUUGCAGAGAAGCUUUAUGGGCCAAUUCGUUCGGCAUCCCCGGGGGCAGGUGCGCGGUGCGCGGGGAAGAAGAGGAUUUGACUGCGGUUCUCCACCCCCGGCGCCCAACCUCCACCCCGGUGCGCGCGCUCUUCCAGGCUCCUGCUGGUCCCACUUGCCAGGAGUUAGGUCUCAGGUCAGCCUGAGCUCCUGAGACGCCCAGGCCCGGAAAGACACGUAGGGGAAACCAUCUGCUCACUUCUGUCCUGUCCGGAAGGGAUCCCUUUCUGACGGGAAAGAAAGGCGGUGAGUCCUGUCCUGUUG